AAUAGUUUUAUGCCAUAUCAGUAUUCUUAUCCUGAAUUUCAGGAUUUUAUCCUGAAAAAAAUCCAAUCUAAAUUAAAAUACUGAAAUUCAGGAUAAAAUCAAAUCCAAAUUAAAAUACUGAAAUUUAGGAUAAAAUCCUGAAAUUCAGGAUAAGAAUACUGAUGUGGCAUAAAACUAUU
rnacentral:pre_miRNA from 1 species